rnacentral:snRNA from 1 species
UGGAGUCAGUGGAUCUGGCUGGCCAGGAACUUGUCCCCUUCCUCCCCCGAGCCCUGUGUGUGUCCUGGCCCAAGCUGCAUGCUGAAUCCAAGAGGACAACCUUCCCUGAUAGAAGAGGACUGGUUUUUGGCCAACCUGUAUGCGUACCUGCAGCUCCCAAACCAGUUCUUGAGAGGGCUGAAGCAGGGAAUGGUGGCCCAUGCCUGUAAUACCAG